rnacentral:rRNA from 1 species
CCUGUUUAACAAAAACAUGUCUUUUUGAGUUAUUUUUAAAGUCUGACCUGCCCACUGAAAUUUUUAAAUGGCCGCAGUAUUCUAACUGUGCAAAGGUAGCAUAAUCAUUAGUCUUUUAAUUGAAGGCUGGUAUGAACGGUUGGACGAGGUAUAAGCUGUUUCAUAUAAAUUUAUGAUAGAAUUUUAUAUUUUAGUUAAAAAGCUAAAAUAUUAUUAAAAGACGAGAAGACCCUAUAAAUCUUUAUAUUUUUUUAUAUUUAAAUUUUUUGGAUUUGUUUUAUUUUUAUAUUAUAAAAUAUUUUGUUGGGGUGAUGUUAAAAUUUAAUGAACUUUUAAUUGUUUAAAAUCAUUAAUUUAUGAGUUAUUGAUCCAUUAGUAGUGAUUAUAAGAUUAAGUUACUUUAGGGAUAACAGCGUAAUUUUUUUGGAGAGUUCAUAUCGAUAAAAAAGUUUGCGACCUCGAUGUUGGAUUAAGAUAUAAUUUUAGGUGUAGCCGCUU